UCACUGCAAGCUCCGCCUUCCGGGUUCACGCCAUUCUCCUGCCUCAGCCUCCCGAGUAGCUGGGACUACAGGCGCCCGCCACUGCGCCCGGCUAAUUUUUUGUAUUUUUAGUAGAGAGGGGGUUUCACCGUGGUCUCGAUCUCCUGACCUCGUGAUCCGCCCGCCUCAGCCUCCCAAAGUGCUGGGAUUACAGGCGUGAGCCACCGCGCCCGGCCAGUUCAAUGGAUUUUAAAAAUUAUUAUUCUCUAGAAAAAAGACCACGAACUUUGGAGUGGACAUCCUGAGACCUGCCUACGAAGACCAUUAGGGUAAAGAAGUCACCCCUUCACCCCAGGACCAGGAAGCCUCCAGGAUGGCAUAAGCGACCAAACAGCUGGGAGCCAAGCACAGUGCAGGGGGCUUGGGGUCGGCGGCCGGAGGCUGGGUGGCCUCCAGAAGACACUCCCCUGAUUCCUACACCGAGGGAACACACAGCAGCAAGCUAGGAAAGAAGGGGUGACCCAGCCCAACGCUGUAAACCAGGGCGCGAACCGGCGUUGAGCUGUGCAGCUGCGCCCUGGGCUCCAGUCCUGCUCUGCCGCAGACCCCACCGGAGCCAGCACCUGCCUCCCCGACCCUCGCUGGGGCGGCUGUGAGAUGAGCCCAGAGCCUUCCUGAGCCAACCCUCGCAAGGAAAGUCUGUCUGUUCACCCCACUAUCCUUGUCUUGAAGGAUGAAGAAAAGAGGGCCCCCCGGGAGGUCCCAAAAGGUGGAAUGGACAUCUGGGAUCCAAGCACAGCAAUUUCUUUAUUUUUCUUAAGCCUCUCACUAGAGGAUGAAAAUCGUUCUGCAUAAAGGCCUGGGCUUUAUGAAAAAUAUAUUCACACCUCCCGUGUCCGAGCUGGGAUACCAAAGAAGUUCCUGGUUGAGUACUACUUAUGAAUGAAGGAUUCAGGGGAUGCACAGGUGGGUGACUGCAAAUGCACAGACGUUGUGCUGUGUUCCCCACAAUAAAGGGGUCUGUAUUAAGAUGCAGGCAUUCUCAUGGAACACAGACGUAUAACACUCAAGCUGGGGGACUGCAAAGGAGCAUCUGGGGCUGCAGGAAGAGAGUUAAGGUGCAAAAAUGCCCUGACCCAACUGAGACUUGUAAUUGCUCAUGUGGUAAUACAUGUGACUUCAUUCCCCUGCUCUGUCUUUGUGAAUGCAACCAUUGUUGGGGAGAUAGUGAGAGGGGACACUGGCAUUGAAAGUUUUGUUUGCAGCAGGCCUCAAAAGGCACUCAGAUGCAGAUUUCCCUGCAAAGACUUCCCGGCCUAUCAUGGAGUUCCCCAUCCCUAGAUCUCUGAUCUCUGAGCUGGUGUAAUACUUAGUCUUUGUCUGUGUUGAUCAUGGCAUCUGCCACACUUAAUGUUUGUGGCAUUCACUUUCUGAUGCUUAGAUCUUACGAUUCUAGAGAACAGCAUUUUUCUACAUAUUCCCUCUUAGGGCCUUGAACAUAAUAAGUGCUCAAUAAAUACUGAGUGAAAUCCUCUACUCUGAGCUUUGCCUCUGAGCAGCUGUCCUAGUUCUCUCCAACAAGAAGUUUGUUGGGUCUCUCAAGUUCACUUCCACCUGUCACUGUCAGUUUUCAGUCCAGCCCCUUACUCAGGUCUGGCUGGCCCAUCUCCCCCAGAGGGCUGUCCCAUAGAGCCCAUUGUAAAGGACACUCAUUGUUGCCAAGAGUUUGUGCCAAUGCAGUAUGACUCACCCUUCACUCAUUGAACAAGCUCUUCCUGAUUACCUAGAUGGGCAAAAUUUCCCUGCUCAUGCGAAGCAGGCUGGCGACUCAGUGCUGCAGCAAAUGGCCCAGAAGCUGGGAAAGCAGAUAGCCGUUCUGACACUUCUCUUCUAGACAGAAAAUCAAGGGAAGCUCAAGACCCACACUUGAAUUUUUUUUAAAAAAUUAGACAAGGGGCUGGGUGUGGUGGCUCAUGCCUGUAAUCCCAGCACUUUGGGAGGCCGAGGCAGGCAGAUCACCUGAGGUUGGGAGUUCAAGACCAGCCUGACCAACAUGGAGAAACCCCUGUCUCUGUUAAAAAUACAAAAUUAGCCAGGCGUGGUGGCACAUGCCUAUAAUCCCAGCUACUCGGGAGGCUAAGGCAGGAGAAUCGCUUGAACCCCAGAGGCAGAGGUUGCGGUGAGCCGAGAUCGCACCACUGCACUGCAGCCUGGCAACAAGAGCGAAACUCAGUCUC
rnacentral:lncRNA from 1 species